rnacentral:piRNA from 1 species
UAGGUGUGUAGGGGGCGGGGGAUUACAGGC